GGCCCGGAUCUUGAUGGGGAUGAUAGUGAUAUGGAUGAUAUGAGCAAUGACGAUGAUGAUGAUGGCGUGAGCGACGAUGACGACGACGAUGGAGAUUUCAUCAUGGAUGACUUUGAGGCUGGAGGUGGAAUGCUGGAGAUUGUAACGGACGGAGAGGAGGACGACGACGAUAGUCAGGGGUUCGAAUCGUACAGCAGUGGGGAUGAAGAUUUUGUGAGCAAUGGUUUUGAUGUUUGAAGUGGUAUUUUUUGACCAGAUAUUGUAAUUAAUAUCUUUGGGUUUCCUUCCAAUGAUUCAUUAUCCAAUGAGAAAAAUGGCCAGUCUCUAUGAUGUGUUUUGAGUCGAUGAAACCUAGUCUUAAAAGGGCAACAAAGCGGACCAUAGUGGCAUUCCGUGCUAAUGAUGUAACAUUUUAAAAAACUUCUGCAUGUAUCGCUUGCAAAG
rnacentral:lncRNA from 1 species